rnacentral:lncRNA from 1 species
CUCGAUUGAUUUAACAGGAUCAGUAAAAAAAAAAUGUGAUGACUAUAUAAGCAAUCCAGCUGCGUACUCUGAUCCUCCAGUCCAGUCUUCUCAUUCGAAAGCCUGUAAGCACAGUAAGGUGUGAGAGGAAUGUCUCAAACACAAGCUGAGUGUACCAUCAAAGUCGGAUACGAUGCUGUUGUUGUUGGAUCGGGCUACGGAGGAUCAAUUGCUGCCUAUCGACUCGCAAAAGCGGGACUCCGUGUGUGUGUUCUAGAAAAGGGAAGACGAUGGGAUCCUCACGAGUUUCCAGCAACGCCAUGGCAGCU